rnacentral:rRNA from 1 species
AUUAGACUACCCGUGUAGUUCCAGACCGUAAACUAUGCGCGUUAGGUGUAUCGGUGACCACGAGUUACCGAGGUGCCGAAGGGAAACCGUGAAACGUGCCGCCUGGGAAGUACGGUCGCAAGGCUGAAACUUAAAGGAAUUGGCGGGGGAGCACAACAACGGGUGGAGCCUGCGGUUUAAUUGGACUCAACGCCGGACAACUCACCGGGAACGACAGCAAUAUGUAGGCCAGGCUGAAGACCUUGCCUGAAUCGCUG